CACACACACACACACACACACACGCGCGCUCUGUCACAAGGUGUGGUGCUGGUUUGUAUAUCAUUGAUGAUAUCAUUGACUGCCUAAAAUAAAUUAGUACAAAUAUAUUUGUACUAAAAACAUGAAUUUUGCAGUUUGUAGAACAGUAUAUGUUAAAGGGCGGUGUUUAAGAUGUGAAGACAAGUGAAAGUGCUGUAUCUUUGGCUAGAGUGGAGAUUGUAUGUGCACUGCUGAAAUAUUAAGCAUUUGGCCGACGCUUCACAUACAGUUGAUCAGGUUGUGGAUUUUGGCCUGUGGAAUGUUGGUCCACUCCUCUUCAAUAGCUGUGUGAAGUGGCUGGAUAUUGGCAGGCUGCUUGACUGACAAAAGAGAACUGACCGGGACACUUUGCUGCAAUGAGUGGAGCUUCCCCAGUGCGCAAAGCCUUCACUGCCAAACCCAACAGGGCUUCCAACA